ensembl:lncRNA
AUGCAGUCACCUUCCCACGGAGAAGUUGAAAUGAGUGAUUUAGCAAGGUUUCUUGCCCGUCGUGAGAUCAUUAGUUCCGGGCUCACAAUAUUCGACGAUCACCCAGAAAACUACUGGGCUUGGAAAUCCUCUUUCUUAAAUGCCACCAGUGGGCUCAAACUCUCUUCCAGUGAGCAGUUGGAUUUACUGAUUAAGUGGUUAGGCAGUCGGUCAUCAGAAUAUGUGAGACGCAUCAGGUCAGUGAAUAUAAGGUAUCCUGACGCAGGGCUUAAAAUGGCAUGGGAUCGUCUAGAAGAGAUGUAUGGAUCCCCGGAAGUGGUUGAGAAGGCACUUUUUGACAAAAUUGAGAAAUUUCCAAAAAUCAAUAAACAAGAUCCUCUGAAAUUACAAGAGCUCGGAGAUCUGCUACGUGAGGUUCAGUCUGCUAAAGCUGAAGGGUACUUGACAGGACUUUCUUAUCUGGACACCUCCAGAGGAGUCAGUCCGAUCGUGGAGAAGCUGCCUUAUCACCUGCAAGAAAAAUGGAUUUAUCAGGGUUCUGAGUACAAAAGGAAGUACAACGUUACCUUCCCUCCAUUCUCCUUUCUUACUGACUUUGUCUGUCAGGAAGCACGUACUCGAAACGAUCCAAGCUUUAGCUAUAGUGCAGUCUGUACAACCCAGAUCAAAGCAGAACCGUUGGUUAAAAGACAAUUGCAAAGAAGGAUGGCUGUGUCUACACACAAGACGGGUGUAAUAUCGUCAACCGGAUUUCUUCCCACAAGAAGUUCCGAAAAUGAACCUAUUGAUGUUGAAAAGCAGUGUCCCAUACAUAAAAACAAACCUCAUCCUCUGAGACGUUGUCGUGGGUUUAGAGCGAAGACUCUAGAAGAAAGGCAAACACUGCUUAGAGAAAAUGGUGUGUGCUAUAGGUGUUGUGCUUCGACGGUUCACUUGGCAAAGAACUGCAAGGCAGUAACCAAAUGUAACGAAUGUGAAAGCGACCGACAUGUGUCUGCACUUCAUCCUGGUCCUCCACCGUGGGCCAACAAAGACCCUUCAUCAGAUCAUGGCGGGGAGGAGGAUAAAAGCCCUUCUCCUACUGUAACUUCACAAUGCACAGAGAUUUGUGGAGACAGUCCUAUACCCAAAUCAUGCUCUAAGAUAUGCUUGAUAGGAGUUUAUCAUGAGGAUCAUCCAGAAAUUAUGGUCAAGAUGUACGCAGUGCUCGAUGAGCAAAGUAAUAGAUCUCUAGCUAGACCUGAGUUUUUUGAUCUAUUCAAAGUAAAAGGAACAGAGCAUCCAUACACUCUUCGAACUUGUGCUGGGUUAACAGAAACUUCAGGAAGAAGGACCAUUCUGAGAUCCCAUCUCCCACCAUUGCACGCCAGUUCCCUCACUUGAUAUCUAUUGCUCACGAAAUACCAGAGAUAGAUCCAUGUGCUAAGAUACUGCUUCUCUUAGGGAGAGACAUCAUCCAAGUCCACAAAGUGAGGAAACAGCUCAAUGGUUUGAAUAAUUCACCGUACGCCCAAAAAAACUCGACUUUGGCUGGGUGAUAGUGGGAAAUGUCUGCUUGGGGUCAGCACAUAAACCUAGCACAGUUGACGUGUUCCGCACAAACAUACUUCUCAAUGGACGCCCAAGCAUAUGUGAGCCAUGUCCUAAUCAGAUACAGGUGAAAGAGAAGCUAAGCAGUAAAAAUCAUCCCAUCUCUUUACAUGGCUGUCGCUUUUACCCAUCCACCUGCCCUGAGUACUUGCUGGGUAACACUAUUUUCGAACGGACUCAAGAUGAUGAAAAGAUAGCCCCUUCCAUUGAAGAUCGUGCAUUCUUGAAACUGAUGGACAAGGAAAUGUUCAUUGACAGCUCUAACAGCUGGGUGGCACCUCUUCCUUUCCGUAUUCCACGCCAACAGCUGCCCAACAAUAGGGACCUGAGUAGGAAACGUCUCUUGUCACUUCAACAGACACUAAGGAAGAAGCCUCAAAUGCAGGAACAUUUCAUCACAUUCAUGCAAAGGAUUUUCGAUGCAGGUCAUGCAGAAUUAGCUCCACCUGUGAUGAAAAAAAUGAGUAAGUGUGGUACCUGCCUAUAUUUGGUGUCUAUCACCCUCGCAAGCCAGGACAGAUCAGAGUUGUUUUUGACUCUAGUGCUCAGUACAAAGGCCUUUCUUUGAAUCAAGUGCUUCUCUCAGGACCUGACCUGAAUAACUCCUUGCUGGGUGUUUUGCUGCGUUUCCGUAAAGAAGCAGUUGCAU